UCCCACGCAGGCUGAUGCGAGUAGCAGGAUGUAAGAUGAGGAAGCGUCAUGUAGCGAGCAUGAUGCUACACGGAUGAGUCGGGAGAGCCAGUUUCCAGAAGCGGCGUUCCUCGUUCCCUCUGCUCAGUGCCCUGGAGUCCUGACCGCAGCAACGUGACUGGCAUCUGAGCAUUUCAAAGAAAUGCUGAUGGCAAGUUUUUGGAAGCAGAAAUUGGAACUGGGGCCAGGGAUGCAUCUGAAUUCUUCAAUGCCUGGAUGGAGCAGCUGUUGCCCUGGCCCGAGAGCCUAUCUGGAGAUUGAGACACAAGCUGUUCAGUCACUCCUCUUCCCAGGGAAGACCUUGUAACGGUGCCAUGUGAGUGGGUGGUGCUGGGGGAACUGCACUGCACAGCUAUCAACGAGAUGCCAUGACCCAGCUGCUGAAACCUCUCUCUCUGCCAAGCCUGGCUAUCUGAGCUCAAUCCCCAGGACGCACGUGGCAGAAGAAAAGAAUUGACUCCUGUAAGUUUUCCUCUGACCUCCAUUUUGUGGGAGGGAGGGGAGGUCUCACUGGGUUGUCCAGGAUAGCCUCAAACUUGCAGAGAUCUGUCUGCCUAUGUUUCCUGAGUACUGGGAUCAAAGAUGUAUAGCAUGGGGCUGGAGAGAUGGCUCAGUGGUUAAGAGCACUGACU
rnacentral:lncRNA from 1 species